rnacentral:rRNA from 1 species
UGGCGACCGGCGCACGGGUGAGUAACGCGUAUGUAAUCUACCUGUAACAGAGGGGUAACCCGGAGAAAUCCGGACUAAUACCUCAUAGCACAUAUUAUUCGCAUGAAUUUUAUGUUAAAGAGACUCGGUUACAGAUGAACAUGCGUUCCAUUAGCUAGUUGGCGGGGUUACGGCCCACCAAGGCAACGAUGGAUAGGGGUUCUGAGAGGAAGGUCCCCCACAUUGGAACUGAGGCACGGUCCAA